ACCCCGGUAUUAUUGCUGUUAUGGGUUUGAUUCGAGCUUAGCCUUGUUCAUUUUUUUACACAACACCCCCGUAAAAAAUACAACACGGCCCGCUCAAGCUCGCGGCCGCCAAUACGUCCAGCGGAGUAAAAUCGCCCCAAAGUGCCUCAAAAAAGCCACACGAGCGCUUUUUUAGGGCAA
rfam:Pseudomonas sp. TW4, complete genome.